UACGUAGGCAGCGAGCGUUGUUCGGAGUUACUGGGCGUAAAGAGCGCGCAGGCGGUCGUUCAAGUCGAGUGUGAAAGCCCCCGGCUCAACUGGGGAGGGUCACUCGAUACUGAUCGACUCGAAGGCAGGAGAGGGAAGUGGAAUUCCCGGUGUAGUGGUGAAAUGCGUAGAUAUCGGGAGGAACACCAGUGGCGAAGGCGACUUCCUGGCCUGUUCUUGACGCUGAGGCGCGAAAGCUAGGGGAGCAAACGGG
rnacentral:rRNA from 1 species